rnacentral:rRNA from 1 species
CUGGAGUUUGGCAGAGGGGGGUAGAAUUCCACGUGUAGCAGUGAAAUGCGUAGAGAUGUGGAGGAGUACCGAUGGCGAAGGCAGCCCCCUGGGCCAAUACUGACGCUCAUGCACGAAAGCGUGGGGAGCAAACAGGAUUAGAUACCCUGGUAGUCCACGCCCUAAACGAUGUCAACUAGGUGUUGGAGGGGUUAAACCUUUUAGUGCCGUAGCUAAC